UACAGGGGGUGCAAACGUUGCUCGGAAUUAUUGGGCGUAAAGCGCGCAUAGGCGGCCACUUAAGUCGGGUGUGAAAGCCCCUGGCUCAACUGGGGAAGUGCACCCGAAACUGAAUGGCUUGAAUGCAAAAGAGGGUCGCGGAAUUCCCGGUGUAGAGGUGAAAUUCGUAGAUAUCGGGAGGAACACCGGUGGCGAAGGCGGCGACCUGGGUUGACAUUGACGCUGAGGCGCGAAAGCGUGGGGAGCAAACAGG
rnacentral:rRNA from 1 species